GCUUGUCUCAAAGAUUAAGCCAUGCAUGUCUAAGUAUAAACAAAUCUAUACUGUGAAACUGCGAAUGGCUCAUUAUAUCAGUUAUAGUUUAUUUGAUGGUUCUUGCUACUUGGAUAACCGUAGUAAUUCUAGAGCUAAUACAUGCAUCAAACCCCGACUCACGAAGGGGUGUAUUUAUUAGAUGGAAACCAAUGCGGGGCAACCCGGUAUAUGGUGAUUCAUAAUAACUUUCGGAUCGAUCUUCGGAUCGAUGCAUCAUUCAAGUUUCUGCCCUAUCAACUUUCGAUGGUAAGGUAUUGGCUUACCAUGGUUGCAACGGGUAACGGAGAAUUAGGGUUCGAUUCCGGAGAGGGCGCCUGAGAAAUGGCGACCACAUCCAAGGAAGGCAGCAGG
rnacentral:rRNA from 1 species